UUAUUGAUAUUUUUGUAAUUUGUUUUUUUCUGGUUUUCAGAGACUCAGGAGACAUUUAGUCAGAGGGAAGAGGACGAGACCACAUCGCCAGAUGUGAGCCAUAGCGAUGCAAGAUCAUGGCAGCGCCCAAUGACACCUCCACAAGCCUGUCACCAACAAUCACCAAAAAGGAAAAGGGGUGAGCUGAUGAAGCUCAGGUGUUCCUGGACCCAUCAGAGGACAGAGACAGCUGCAGCAUCAGGACAGUCGGUAACACUUUAUAAUGAGUACACACUAUUAAGCAUUAGUUAAGCAUGAAUAAAUACUGAAUUCAUCAUUUAUAACACAUGAAUACACAUUAGUAUGUAGUUUAUAAACAGUUAAAAAUGUUUUAUUCAUCAUUGAUAAGCACAUUAGUUAUGGAUUAGUAAAUACUGAAUCCAUCAUUUAUAAAGCAUGAUUCUGCUGUAAAUAGUCAUUACUAUGUGGUUUAUAAUCACAGUUAUAAAUGUUUUACUCUUCAUUGUACUGUACAUUUCUGCAUGCACUUGCACAUCCACUAUUCAGACAUGUAUUAAUGAUUAGUGACUGUGUUAGCAGAUGUUCUAUAAAACCCACAACAAAUUCAUGUUCUAAUGAUGGCCUAUAAACAGUGAUUAAUGCAGGAAUUCACAGUUACAAAGCACUUACUACUCGUUAAUUAAGUAUUUUGCACGAGCUCAUCUAAAGUGAGCACUAUCUAUGGUUUAUUAAGGAUUUACAAAUGAGAUACGUUGUACGUUGAGCUCCCGCUCUCAGCACGUCAUCAACUUGAUGACGUGAUGAGAGCGGGAUGUUACGUCAUAUUUACGUUAACUCUCAGAAGUUUCUGACAGUGCAGCCAAGAGGAGCAUGGAGGAGCACAUUGGAGUCGGCGGCCAUCAGCGGCACUAGUGGAGAGUAUAUGUCUUUGUUUGGUAGCACACAUUAUGGUUGAAAGAUAACGUUACUAACGUUAGUAACGUUAGUAACGUUAGUAACGUUAGUCGGGGAGCGAGGGCAAACACCUGCAGCUGCUGACAAGCUAACGUUAUCUUUCAACCAUAAUGUGUGCUACCAAACAAAGACACAUACUCUCCACUAGUGCCGCUGAUGGCCGCCGACUCCAAUGUGCUUCUCCAUGCUCCCCUUGGCUGCACUGUCAGAAACUUCUGAGAGUUAACGUAAAUAUGACGUAACAUCCCGCUCUCAGCACGUCAUCACGUUGAUGACGUGCUGAGAGCGGGAGCUCAACGUACACGUCCCAAACAGAUAAGAUCACAACAAUAGCAUGUCUUCAUAAACCAGCCUUGUUCGUCUUCAUACAAUAUGUUGGGAAGUUGCAGUAAAUAUCAAUACAAUAUGUUCUAUAUCCCUUUGUGUUGUGUCUCUCCUUCGUCUGUUAAGAUAACUGAACAUUUUGUGAGUCUCGAGGCAUUGUCAGCCUUUAUAUCUCAUUUGUAAAUCCUUAAUAAGCCAUAGAUAGUGCUCACUUUAGAUAAGCUCGCGUAAAAUACUUAAUUAACGAGUAGUAAGUGCUUUGUAACUGUGAAUUCCUGCAUUAAUCACUGUUUAUAGGCCAUCAUUAGAACAUGAAUUUGUUGUGGGUUUUAUAGAACAUCUGCUAACACAGUCACUAAUCAUUAAUACAUGUCUGAAUAGUGGAUGUGCAAGUGCAUGCAGAAAUGUACAGCACAAUGAAGAGUAAAACAUUUAUAACUGUGAUUAUAAACCACAUAGUAAUGACUAUUUACAGCAGAAUCAUGCUUUAUAAAUGAUGGAUUCAGUAUUUACUAAUCCAUAACUAAUGUGCUUAUCAAUGAUGAAUAAAACAUUUUUAACUGUGUUUAUAAACUACAUACUAAUGUGUAUUCAUGCGUUAUAAAUGAUGAAUUCAGUAUUUAUUCAUGCUUAACUAAUGCUUAAUAGUGUGUACUCAUUAUAAAGUGUUACCGGACAGGGUAAAGGACACGAUCUGCACGGUUUACAUUGAAGUUAUAGCUUUGUUACUUACAACAUGUGUAACUGGAAUGUGAAUGAAACAAAGUGUUUUACUUUUAAGAAGAGUUUUGGUCAUUUUUAAAUUCAGUAAUAAGUGUGGUUUUAUAUAAAUAACAUGUUAUUUCACAGAGGUUUUAUGAAGAUUUCCUGGAUGUACAAGAGUUGAAAACCUGGUUCGUGUAACAUCUAUCAAUAUGAAAAUGUUAAACCUGUAUUAAUGACUGUAAGCAACACAAUACUUUACUGUCUCACAUUCAAACUUUAUUAUGUUGGAAGAUAAAUGACAUCAUAAUACAGUAUAUAAUAUAAAUGAUAGAAUAUUCAGUAUACAGUAUUUUUAAUAGGGUCCAAACAUAAUUGCAGCUUUUACAAAUAUCUGAAGGUUAACUUUGGCAAUAAUACUUUCAAGUUAAAAAAUCAGACUAUGAAAUAUGGAUGAAUUAAUAUAGCAGUAUUUACCUGAGGAACACGUCACAGAAAGCUGUAGUCCUGAUUGUUGAUGUUGUUCAUUCCUCUGUGAUUUCAGGUCAGACUCCCGCUCUAACAUGUCCGCUGGUGAAGUUUUUGCUUUAGAAGCAGUUAUUGAAUUAAUAUUGACGGUAGAAAUGCAGAUAAACUCAGUAGCAGUGAGGAACUACCUGCCGGCAACGAAGGGGAGGGGCCAGAGCGUCAUCUGCGUGAUCGCGACAUAAUGCUGACCAAUCAGAGCAGACUGGGCUUUUCGUGAGGGGGGUCUUAAAGAGACAGGAGCUGAAACCGAUCGAUUCAGACAGAGGCUGAAAAGAGGUGCUAUAGGCAGUAUGAGAAAAAUAAUGUGUUUUUUGAAGAUUAAAACAUCUAAACCUAUUGUAGGAGAGCCACAAAAUACAAUUAUGAACCUGAAAAGGGGCAUCAUAUGUCUCCUUUAAUAAACUGUCCGUAUUUGGGGACUUCAUGGUUUAGAUUCCCUUUGUUAAAGGCACUGAGAACUAUCUAAAAUUAAAAAAAUCUAAAAUGAUUAGCGGCAAGAGCAUCAUCAUGUUGUCAUGGCGACCAUCAUGAGCGUCCUCUGGAUACCCUUGCACUUCCUCUGACUAACCACAGGGUGGUGGUGUUUCUCUCUGAUGUUUAAUGUCAGCACCAGCAGCAAACACAGAAAUCCACCAUAUGAUAAACUUUAGUUUCCAAUCUGUCACACAGUCAUGGUGGAAGAGCUUAUUUAUUGGUGUGACACCUAUCUAACACCGUACAGAGACAUGUAAUGUCACACAGGUCUCGUCUGGUGAGACAGUUGCAAUAUGUUGAAAAUGAUCAAACUGUUCAGGGUUAUAACAUACAUGAUAGAAAAACCAUCUCUUAACAUGAUAUUAAAUAUAUCAUAAAUGUACCUUUAUUAUUAUUUUAUGUUAUUGAUUGCUGACUCAUAAGAUUGUUUAAAAUCCAGAUCAUGAAGAAAUAAGACUUGUCAACAGAGGUCAAGGAGCCAGAAAUCCCCUCCCCUAAUGAGUACAAUAAACAAUAAAAACAAAAAAUGAGACAUCAUGAAUUAAUCAUCAAGAGAGAAACAUGUCUUGAAAUAAUAUAUGUUAAUUCAAUUUGAAGAAACGAUGAUGGAACAGAAAAACACAAAUAUCUGAUGAAUAAAAUGUCAUAUACUGACACAAUGUUCAGUUUUCUGAUAAGAAGGACAGAGGCCUCAUUAGAGUUUGAGAGAGUUGACAAUCUUACAAAUUGUUUUUUUCAGCAAAAAAGUUCAUUAGUAGUUUUCUGAUGAUCCCUGUUUAAGUUUUUUCCAAUUUAAUUUCUUAUUAGUUGAGAAACUUGAGAUAUGUAUUUUCCCUCUACUGACACUCUAGCAUAAUCUCUGUCAUACCUCCUGCCCCUUCCCACAAUCAUUAUGAAAUCUCACUUUUUAAUAUUUAAUGUGCAAUGUGAAACCAUCUUGAAACUGUCACCAAUUCCUCAUUUAAUUUCACUUACUAGAGUGUGUAAGUUAAGAUUGCAGAGAACAAAAAAGGAAAACAAAACUUAGAAACUAAUGAAAAAUCAUUCCUAUAAAAUUUUAGAAAACAAUAUUUAAGCAGAGUUUGAGGAGUUCAUGAGUGUGUACAGCAGCAGAUAUGAAUCUGUUCUCAGUAGUUAUUAGGACUCAUAAAAAAUUGUUGACAGCGAAUCAACACUUCCUUUCCUGCAGCAGACGGGCUGUGUGGGUUUCCUCUCUGCAGCCUCCUCACCGUUAGCUGCACUUUUUCACAUUAAUAACACAAUGACAGUUACAACCAUCGACUCUGGUUAAAGAAUCAUUCCAGGAACUUCAGUUUGAUUUCAGCUCUCAGUACUCACUGUGAAAGUUGUCUUUAAUUCAAACAGUUUUAUUGAUUCUGUAAAGGUGAUAGUUUAAUGGCAGUUUCUCCAGCCUGACUCCAACUUGUAACAUAAUACAACAUAUUAGGACAUGUGGGAAAGGAUCACAGCCUGCAUACAUUUCUAACAUCAUCAAUACAAAGAUAAUUUCUCAUUUAUUGGUUCUUAUUGAACAUGUUUCAAAUUAGAAUUUUAUUAUAAAUUAUGUCAAAUAGAAGGUUUUAAAAUUUUUUUUUUACAAUGUAUAACUUUUGUGUUUCUUUAUGAAGCAUUUUGUGAUGCUGUCUUUACUUUAAUACAUCGUAAUUAAAGUAUAAUCAGUAACUAUACUAAUCCAUUUCAUCGUUGUCAAACUGUUUAUAAAAAAUAUACACAAUCAUCAUUUAGCCAACAUUCAAACUUCAAACCAACUGAUCAAGCAACGGUAUCAUCAUUUUAUAACAGUUGAAGCUUCAAAGCAGCUCGCUCUGCUGUUUGUUCAUGUGUGGAAAUAACAGUGUCAUCAGCGUAGAAUUUUACAUCCACACUGACACAAUUAUAAAAGGGGCUCAGCACAAAGCCAGUGACAUUGAUUGUGUUUCUAACUUUAUUGCUAUGAAGCCAAACUGAAAUUUGCAAAAUAAGAACAUAGAAAAAAAUAAACAGUGAAUAUCUAGCAGACAGAUAAUGAUUCAGCUUUUCUAUGAUCAUACGAGUCACAAUUAAAAAAUUGGAAAUAAACUAGAGCCAAACUAAACUCAAUUAACACUACAGUAGCACAGAAUUUACACUCACUAACUGCAAAUAUGUAUGUGUAUGUAUUUAUAUUUUUUGGAGCACUUUAUCAAACCUGUUUAUAAAAAGAUUGGUUUCCCAAUUUAUAUCUAAAUUGAAAUUUCUGGCUGCUGAUCAAAGUGAUAAAUGAGAUGAAUUGAUGAGAUUUGACGGAGAG
ensembl:lncRNA